rnacentral:rRNA from 1 species
UACGUAGGGGGCAAGCGUUGUCCGGAAUUAUUGGGCGUAAAGAGCGUGUAGGCGGUCCGGUAAGUCAGCUGUGAAAGUCAAGGGCUCAACCCUUGAAAGCCGGUUGAUACUGUCGGGCUAGAGUCCGGAAGAGGCGGGUGGAAUUCCCGGUGUAGCGGUGAAAUGCGCAGAUAUCAGGAAGAACACCCGUGGCGAAGGCGGCUCUCUGGGACGGUACUGACGCUGAGACGCGAAAGCGUGGGGAGCGAACAGG